GCUGGUUCUCCCCGAAAGCUAUUUAGGUAGCGCCUCGGACGAAUACUACUGGGGGGUAGAGCACUGGUUAAGGCUAGGGGGUCAUCCCGACUUACCAACCUUUGCAAACUCCGAAUACCAGUAAGUAAUAUCCGGGAGACACACGGCGGGUGCUAACGUCCGUCGUGAAGAGGGAAACAACCCAGACCGCCAGCUAAGGUCCCAAAGUUAUAGCUAAGUGGGAAACGAUGUGGGAAGGCUCAGACAGCCAGGAUGUUGGCUUAGAAGCAGCCAUCAUUUAAAGAAAGCGUAAUAGCUCACUGGUCGAGUCGGCCUGCGCGGAAGAUUUAACGGGGCUAAGCUAUACACCGAAGCUGCGGCAAU
rnacentral:rRNA from 1 species